rnacentral:rRNA from 1 species
CGGAAUUGCUAGUAAUCGUAGGUCAGCAUACUACGGUGAAUACGUUCCCGGGCCUUGUACACACCGCCCGUCAAACCAUGAGAGUUGGCAACACCCGAAGUCGGUAGUCUAACCGCAAGGAGGACGCCGCCGAAGGUGGGGUUGAUGAUUAGGGUUAAGUCGUAACAAGGUAUC